AUAUGGUGUUGCUUGUGGUGUCAGCGCCUAGUUCAUGUUGAUUGUCAUGCCAAUAUGUUCAAUGAAACAGGUGAUAUAUGUGACCUGGGCCCUUUCAGAAGGCUUAUUCUAUCGCCGCUUUAUGUGAAAGAGUUGAACAGGGGAGGACUGCUGAGUUCUAUCACACAAGGUGCCAAUGAAAUUGCUUCUUCAGUCCGCGCUAGUAUAAUAAGUCAAAGCAAGAAAUACAAGCACAGUAAAGAAAAACAUGAGAAUUUGACCUCUGCAGAGACAAGCAAUGGUGGUGGUGUUGGGGACACAACUACUGAAUGCACUGCUGAUUCUCAUCAAGUGAAUGGUAAUGGUAAUAUAGAUGAAAACUGCAAUAGUGGUGUAAAUAUAGAGGGUGCGGAUCAGCAGCAAGACGGUGGUGUUAAAAAGUUGAUAUCUAUACCCAGCUUCAAGAGGAGUUCAUCCAUUAAUCAGAAGGAUGAAUCUCAAUUAAUAGGGCAGAAAUAUGAAUUGACUGAUUUGCCUCCAGAUGCUAGGCCUCUGCUAGUUUUCCUAAACAAGAAAAGUGGAGCUCAGCGAGGAGAUUCACUUAGGCAGCGAUUGAACAUUUUGUUAAAUCCUGUGCAGGUCUUUGAGUUGAGCUCAACAGAAGGACCCGAAAUAGGUCUUUAUCUAUUCAGAAGUGUCCCUCACUUCCGGAUUCUCGUUUGUGGAGGAGAUGGAACUGUUGGUUGGGUUUUGAACGCUAUAGAUAAACAGAACUUUGUUUCACCUCCACCAGUAGCAAUACUUCCUGCUGGGACGGGAAAUGAUUUGGCUCGAGUUCUUUCUUGGGGUGGUGGCUUGGGUGCAGUUGAGAGGCAAGGAGGUCUUUGCACACUUUUGCGUGAUAUCGAACAAGCCGCGGUAACCAUUCUUGAUCGUUGGAAAGUUUCAGUGUUAAAUCAACAGGGAGAGCUGCUUCAACCUCCAAAGUUCUUGAACAAUUACCUUGGUGUUGGUUGCGAUGCAAAGGUUGCAUUAGAAAUCCAUAAUAUGAGGGAGGAGAACCCCGAAAAGUUUUACAAUCAGUUCAUGAACAAAGUUCUUUAUGCCAGAGAAGGCGCCAAGAGUAUAAUGGAUAGAACUUUUGCAGAUUUUCCAUGGCAAGUUCGUGUGGAGGUUGAUGGUGUUGAGAUUGAAGUUCCUGAGGAUGCAGAAGGUGUUCUUGUAGCCAAUAUUGGAAGCUACAUGGGUGGAGUAGACUUGUGGCAGAAUGAAGAUGAACACUAUGACAAUUUUGAUCCUCAAUCCAUGCAUGAUAAGAUGCUGGAGGUUGUUAGCAUUUCUGGAACGUGGCAUCUUGGGAAGCUUCAGGUGGGGCUUUCCAAAGCUCGGAGGCUUGCACAGGGUCAGUUGAUCAAAAUUCAUCUUUUUGCUGCAUUUCCUGUUCAAAUAGAUGGUGAACCUUGGUAUCAGCAACCAUGUACAUUGACAAUUACUCAUCAUGGACAGGUCUUCAUGCUGAAGAGGGCAGCAGAGGAACCUCUAGGUCAUGCAGCAGCAAUAAUUGCUGAUGUGCUUGAGAAUGCCGAAUCCAAUCAAGUGAUCGACGCUUCACAGAAGCGGGCACUUCUUCAAGAAAUGGCCAUCAGACUUUCUUAGACAUCAAAACAGUGAUUUGUUAGUUUGCAGCAGUAAGUCAAAGUUUUGUAUAAAACCCAUGUCUUCACACACACACACACCGUCUCUUUUUUUUUUGCAUGUUAUUUCUUUUCACGUGUAAAAUAUACUGUAUAUGGAAAUUAGAAUGCUUGUUCAGUUGUUUGUAU
rnacentral:misc_RNA from 1 species